rnacentral:lncRNA from 1 species
AUAUAUUUAAUAGUGAAGGUCUUCGGCUAUCACUAUGAAUGGUUCUGCUGUUGUGUAAGUGAUUUCUUAAGUGUUGUGUUGUAACACAUUAGAGUAAAAGAUUAAUUGUGUAUGAAGAAUAAUAUUGUGGAGUCAGGCAGAAUUUGACCUUAGUUCUGACCAAAUUAAUCUUUAUUUGUUUGCUAGGUUGUGUGUCAAACAUCACUUCGUGUUGUAGUGCAUUUUUUCCUUUCAGAAUCCACAUUAUGCAAUUUGGCUUUAUAAGAAGUUUCACUUUAUUAUUAGUGGAGAACGGGAGAUAAGGAAAGGGAAGGGAAAAACAGUAAUUCUAGCAACUAGCCAUUGUUCCAUGGCAAAACACAGGUGUUUGUUCUAUUAUGUUCAUCGGAAGUCUUUACGGAGGAGUUGGGUCUGGGUGAGUGACAUAGAUUUGCUUGAGAUCACGAAUUCUUUUCUGCUGUUACUUGCAUCUUACUUGAAUUUUUUUUCUUCAAGUUCUUCAUGUUUUCCCAUAUCGUCUGCUCUAUAGAAGCUGCUACCUCAAAUUAAGUAAGUGCAUCCUUCUUUUUUGUCCAAGUUUGUUCUAUUCUAUUACUCAGAAGUCUGUACAAGACUGAGAGAGUGAAGCAUAUUUGCUUGAGAUUUGAAUUAUUUUUUGAUGUCAGGUUUGUAUGCUGUACUGUUUGAUUAAUGAAAACUGAUAAAAGUAGUGGCAAACACUUGAUUGAGUAUGUUACUGGAUUUUACCAGUCAUACACAGUUGUUUCUUGCAAUAUUAUCUGCAUGACAAGAAACACCCAUAUUUGAUUUUGCUCUGUGAUUGGUUCAAAUAUCACUUUUUGGGCUAAAGCUGAUUGGAUACGAGUAGUAGUGUCAACAGUAAUAACUUGAAACAUGAUUUUAUCAUGGCUCUAAAUUUUAUUGCUGAUGAUUUCUUUCAGGAUAUUUGUAGAGGCUAUUUGCACCGUAGUUCAAGGCAGAUGAUAGAGUACAGGCUAGGCAACUCACUUAUAUUGGUACUCGUUUAAAUGGUUAUCUAUUCUGCCGGCAUAGUUACAUGCCAUAUUAAUUUCAGAAGAACAAUUUCUAAUCUAGUGUUGUGCUUGCAUGCAUUGUUAUGUCUAAAAAGAAACGCAGACGCCUCGCCGCUCGAUAAAAAGAAAAAAAGGAAAGGAAAUAACCCACGACCGCGCACCUCAUCUCCCACUAACCUCACAAUCCCAUCUCGAACUCCACCGCGCCUCCACUCCCGCCCCGCCCCAUCUUACCGAUGCGUUCGAGUAGGGCGCCACCGCCGCGCGUGGCCGCGCGGCCAGUUUUCUUCUCUCUCUAUCCGUUCUGGGGGCGCUCGACAUCGCCGUGCCGCCGAUCUGCCGGCUUCUCUGGAACUCCGUUUGUCAGCAUCUUCUCCACCCCUUGGUGAUGAGCGGCUGAGCCAAGGAGCGGAGUCAGGCGCCGCCGCGCGUACAUGCCGCGUUCGUGCGAGAGUGGGGACGGUCUGACAGGGGAUGCAGACUUGGUUGGGGAACAAGAGCACGCGAAGCUAGGAGCAGGGGCCGAUCGAUGGGCAGCGCGAGGACCUCCUACUGGUUCUACAUGUUCCUCUCUCUGCCUAUCCAUUACAAGCAUAGAGGUGAACUCAUGGUUGUAUUGAUAGGUGAUUUAAAGUGCGUGGUUGUGAGGAAAUCAGUAUAAAAUCGUUGUUGUCGGAGUUCCCUUGGAACUGCGCAGAAGAUGGGGUGAUGGAUUCAGUGUCAAGAUUCAAUGAAGAUCCAUCUGUUCGUGGCCUGCUUGUUCACCCACUACUACCACAAGCAAUGUAUUUUACUUUUCUAGAUGCAGCCCUAGAAAGGAAUUAUGUUUGGUUUAGUUCAUAGAAAGAUAUAUCAUAAAAUCCUUUUUGUUUACAUACUAACUGAAUAAUACGAAGUAUUUUAGUUCUCAUGGUAAUAGACAAGCAACUUCAGUAGUAUUUGAUUUGAGUUUUUGUUUUUAAGUAUAUGUUUGCUCAAGAUUCAACUUUCUUUAUGUCCAUGUUUUGCUGGUAUAAUGCAUCAUCAAGCUUUGUUUUAUAUGAUGACAUUGUGUAAAUCAGCAUAUGGAUGAGGAAAGUAUUCUGAGCGCAGAUGCUCGCCGCCGCCACUGCUUCCGACAAUGUGUGAGCCGCCUAAUCGAGCGAGGAUUCGCCGCUCAUCCUAAGAGGACUCGCCGCUCUUCCAUGACGCCGCCGCUGCAACGCGGCGUUGUUCCAGCACCAAAUCGCAGGUUUUUCACGGUGCCUAUUUACUUGCCCUUCGUCUGCAUAGUUGAGCGCAAGCUUCUGGCCUUAAUAUAGACUUUUGAAAACAUUAUAUUUCAUGCCUGCACAUUACUAGAAACAUAAUUACACUGCGUAGAUUUAGCGGAUUUAAAUAAUACUAUUGUCUCAGUAAAAAAAUAUUUUUCAACUUCAAAUUAUAUGCUGGCUUCAGAUUGUUUUCUUAAAAACCAAGAGCUCUUUUGGGGUUUGCAGUAGUGUGGUUUACAAGAGGUAGCCACGGUUCUUCAAAAAUUUGAAGUGUUAGCAAAAGGAGUGGAACAGAUCAAACUGAAGCUAUUUUAUUUGAUAUUAUCUACUUCUACUUGAACUUUGAUGGGAAUCUGAUGUAACCAUCCCGCAAUCUGAAAAUACUGUAUGAUGUGCAGAGAAAAUCUCUGUUUACAUGUAACUGCGCUGAACUCUGCUUAUAUUUCUCUAUGCGCCACAAAGUUCAAGCAGUUGUAACUAGUAUACAAACAUACUUUGCUCACAGUAUAAUCAUCUGAUGCAAUGUGAUAGUUCCAGCAAAAUUUCUUCACCUAUAAAUCAAAUUAUGUUACUUCUCUUUGUGUAAAUCUUGGAUUUCUAGAUCUUAUGAAAAUGACUUUUUAUUUCAGCAAGUGUAAUUUGAAUUUGUAAUCUUUUUAAAUAUAGAUGCAUCUUUGCAAAUCCAACAAAGUGGUGGGAAUAUCUACAACAUGAAGUUUCUCAAGCUGAUAGGGCAUUCUUCUGCAUGUUUGUGACAUGAUCAUGGUGCGCAUAUAUUUAAUAGUGAAGGUCUUCGGCUAUCACUAUGAAUGGUUCUGCUGUUGUGUAAGUGAUUUCUUAAGUGUUGUGUUGUAACACAUUAGAGUAAAAGAUUAAUUGUGUAUGAAGAAUAAUAUUGUGGAGUCAGGCAGAAUUUGACCUUAGUUCUGACCAAAUUAAUCUUUAUUUGUUUGCUAGGUUGUGUGUCAAACAUCACUUC